UACGCAGUUGGUCUGCCCCUAUCUGUAGAUGUGAAUAUGACCUAAUAGCAUAUGAACUGAAAGGACAAGUUAUCUGCUUUAAUGGAUGCAAUAUACAGUGAUAGAGAGCCAUGAAAUAUGAGCAAUAAAAAAAUACCACUCAGAAAGGAAAGACUGGACAUUAAAAACAUCCGAACUAUAACUACAAUCCAAUCCUGCUGUUUAAGAAUAGGGAGAAUUCUGCUCUAGUGAUGAAAAAAAAUAAUCAGUGAACCCUUGAUUCUGCUCAUGGAAACAACUUCCUUAUCAGUUAUAAGAUAUCUCUGGGUGAUAUCCAAGGUGACAUUGGGGAUGAUGUAUUCCCUAGUGGCUAUGGAAGUCUCUCAUGUUUUUCCCUCUUAGACUGAGUUUGGAUUCGAAUUUGUCUUAAUUUUGAACAUUCCCUGCCUCUUGAGGUCUACAUUUGUGAAUUAUUUAGCAAUUCAGCUUCCCCUAAAAUUAGUAAGUGCUCAGUAAAAUUGUUUUGGGUCAUAUCUAUGAGAAACUACUCACAGAUUUCAUCUGAAUUUUCUCUUUGAAGGUCAGAGGCUUUGGCUCUUGGGUAUUUGCCUUUCUGAUCCACCCAUCUUUUAGUUUGAUGCAACUUCUUUGAUGCAGUUUUACUGAGGUAAAAUUUUUAAUUCCAUUUUUGCCACCCACUUCCACACCUUUGAAUGGCAGAGCACUUUAGCAAGCUAAAGAAAUGCCUGAGGCUAUCUUGCUCCCUGUAAGACUGAUACUAUCUGCAGGUUCUAAUCUGUUCAAAUACACAGACUCCUGUUUUCUUGAUUCCCCUGUCCUGAAUCUAAGUUUGCCUUUUUAACAGGGCUCCAAAUUACAGCAAUCAGUCAACAUCGAUUGCAGCUACAAGGAACAUCUCUAUUACCAUUUGCAAAUUUGAUAGAACAAAUCUGGAAGGCCCACCAUUUCUUGGAGGAAUUUGCUGAAAUUGACAUAGGCUAUCAUUCUGAAUUUUUCUUAUUUCCAUAAAAGUUGCAAUCUGAUUCAGCAUGUGGUCUAUAACAGACCACAGUUAGACCGAAUGCUUUGUCUUCAUAUAAGAAGAAUCAAUAUCCUCCUCUAUGCAGCAAUUGGCAGGACUUUGCCUCUCAGUUUACUAUGUCUUUUACACUUACCAAAGUUGUUAUUUUCUUUAUUUCUUUUUUAAAAAAAUAUUCAUACUAAUUUCAAAUUUCACAUUUUGGUAUUUGUUAAAAUUUUGUUUUGGUUUCAAAUAACAAGAAUCCUAUAUAAAGGCAGCUUUGAAGACGUUAAGAUUUAUAUAUCCCACUGAAUAUGGAGCCUGGAGUGACUGUUCAAAGAAAGAUUUUUUCAUUUUCCUGAUUGCCUAUUCUGUACAUGUGAGUUUUGUCAUUCUAGUCACAAAAUGAUCCUAUACUCUCAGACACUGCGUGUACAUUCCACAUGGAAGAGGGGCAAAUAAAGGACCAUUAACUGGGGAAAAUUCAUCUGAAAAAAUUCCACCCUUCUCAGGUUAACUUAAUGUGAGUACAGUGGUGUGCUCUGUGAGGGCUGCUCCUUUCUCUGUCAAAUGUCCUUGCUGAAGCAUGCUAAUAAGGUACCCUUUGUGAUUUAUAUGAGCUAUCAUUAGAAAAAGGAACAAGAAUUAUAGAAAAGCAACUCUUAGGUGGUGAGUCAUGUUACAGAAAACGCACAACUUAAAAUAUAACAAUGACUCUGUUGUGCUAUCUAAUGCCCGUCAAAAGAUGACUGCAUCACCAAUUCUGCAAAAUUUUCUUCAUUCUUGUCUUUUAUUUCACUCCUGUGAGAACAUAUGUAUCUUGUCUCAGGAAAGUUGAGAUUAAAAAGCAUAUACAUCUAAAAUGAAA
rnacentral:lncRNA from 1 species